UACGUAGGGUGCGAGCGUUUGUCCGGAAUUAUUGGGCGUAAAGAGCUUGUAGGUGGUUUGUCGCGUCUGCUGUGAAAACCCGAGGCUCAACCUCGGGCCUGCAGUGGGUACGGGCAGACUAGAGUGCGGUAGGGGAGAUUGGAAUUCCUGGUGUAGCGGUGGAAUGCGCAGAUAUCAGGAGGAACACCAAUGGCGAAGGCAGAUCUCUGGGCCGUAACUGACGCUGAGGAGCGAAAGCAUGGGGAGCGAACAGG
rnacentral:rRNA from 1 species